rnacentral:lncRNA from 12 species
GUUGGGCAUGUUUCUUAAUCACAAUAACUAUGACUUUAUAACCAAGAGUGAAGAGAGAAUUGUCAUCCUACAAUUUGACAAGUAUCUCAUACACUUUUUGAACUAUUCACCAUGUACCUACUAAUUUUUGCUCUUGCCUCAAUUGGAUGGGUGUCUGCUUUUACAAACUGUGAAGAAAGCACAGUUUAUGGGACUGCUUAUAAGGCACUUUUUGAACAUCUUGGCUUGAACAAGACUGACGUUCCAAAAACCCACCUACUGCCUUACUUCAUGGACCCUCCUACUGACGUUUAUGUGGACCUGUAUGUGACGUCCAUCAUAGAAGUGGUAUGAGUCCAGCAUGAUUUAUCUUCUUAUACAAGUCAUGAGUGUCAGACAGUUGUAAUGUCAUUAUUUAACACUUAAUUUAUCUGUAGAAUGAAAAAGCCCAGAGCCUCUCAACACAGGUCAAAAAGAUGACUGUAAGUUUUUUUUUUUUUUCUCGAUAUUUUUCUCUUAUUUAAAUGUUUCUCAGUUUAUAAAACUUAAUUGUAUAUGACCACAAAAUCUUAUUAAAUAUCAAGCAUUUCACUCUUGAAUCCUAAGUAGUUGCUUCACCAUUUUUAUUGUUCCUAGUUUUUUAGCUUUAUUUAUUGGUAAUGCUCAACCAUCAUUUAAAAAAAAAAAAAAAAAAAAAAAAAUUCUCACUUGGUUUUACCACAGCUCGUUUUUGUGUCAUGGCACAUAAAAAAAAAAAAGAAAAUUGGUUAUAGAGUUGAUUACAGAACCCCAGUGGUGGACGAAGUAUACAAAUCAAGUACUCAAAUAUAAUUACAUAUACACUAAAAUUACUCCAGUAAAACUAUUAAGUACUCCUCUUCAAUUUUGCUUGAGUACAAUACAUGCUAUAGUGUUUGUGUGUAAAUAUGGUGACAGCAUACAAUAUUCAAAUAUUUGAAUUUGA